GAGUUCAUAAAUGUAUUAAACAUGCAGCAAAGGAUGUACAUCCAGUUGAAAGGACUGGGUGGACUUCUCAAGACACCUAGCAUCAAAAUUAGACGUGUACUCUGCCUGGCCAUCGCUAAUUCAUAUGAUGCAGAGCAGGAUGCCUUUAUCAUCAAUGGGAGACCAUGUAGGAUCACACUAGAAGAUGUAGCGCAUAUAACAGGCAUGCCUUGCCAUGGGAAGAAGCAUGUCCCUUCAAAUCUUGAUGAUAAUAUGGAGUUGUGGAAAAAACUGAAAGACCGUAAUGACACCAAAAUAACUUUCAAAGGAUUGCUAGCCAAGAUGAAAUUUGACAGCACACCAAAUUUUGUCAGGCCAUUUGUCUUGUACACCAUAGGAAAAUAUGUAUGUCGAACAAAAGAGGAGUAUGUGGAUAACAAAUAUAUUGGGAUUGUUAGAAACAUUGAGACGAUAAAGGGCACAAAUCUUGGACAGCUAACGCUUGACUAUCUUAUCGAUAGCGUGAAGAAUUUUGUAAAUGGUGAGGCAACUCUCGAGGGGAAUCUACCACUACUGCAGGUA
rnacentral:rRNA from 1 species